ACGAGAAGAUCCGCGCUGCCCGUACCACUGUUUCUGUCGUGUCUGUCCAUAGCCCAACAGUACAGGCUGUACAGCAGCAAGAAAAGACCGCAGCAAGACAAGGUCAAAAUCGUCAAAACUGAUGGCAACCCUCGUAAUUCUUUCUCAAAACAAGGGACAUUUUUUAACCUCAGUCCUAUAUAUAACCAAAAACAUCAAACACUCUCACAGCACAACAACGCAUAAGCAUCUUCUCAGAGCUUCUUAGUUCUCACCCUUCAUUCUUUUCUUCAGCAAAUCAGAGAAAAACACAGAAAUUUAAGGAAUGGCAGGUGCAAGAGCCAGUGGCAUGAUGAAUGGUGGAAGAAGCUUCCCAAGGAGGUUCUCUGGGCGUCCAAUUCCAAAGCGUGGACAAGUCAAAGUUGGAAUAGUUGUCGGGCUUGCAAACUCUGUUGUUUCCAUUUUCUCUCGCAGCAGAGCCACCCGAGGAUGUGCUACACCUACUCACCUCGCUCACUAGCUUCCAACUCAUUCGGGCUACAAAAAUUUUUGAUCUUUUUGUUCUUGUAAAAAUUGGGGUCUUUUUUAUUCCCUUCUAUGAUCUUGUUCAUAUGUAAAUCUCUUUCUUUUUUCCUAUCAAAGAAUCCAAUCGCCUCUUGUUUAACUACCUAGCUACUGAGUACAACUUUUUCUUUUUUUACUAUGAGUACAAUUUUAGUUGGAUCUACACCAAUGGAUGAAUUUAAAUUUCAAAAGGCAAGCCAAUGAUAUUUAAUUUAAAAAUAUUCCCAGUAAUAGAUUAAUGUAUUGAUUACUUCAUUUUAGAGCAUGUUUGGUAUUGCGUUCUCCAGCUCAAAAUUGCGUCAAGAUGAAAACAAUUAUAAGUAGCUUCGAUGUGUG
rnacentral:lncRNA from 1 species